GGCCACACCUCCUCCAGCAAGUCCACACUUCCAAAUCCUUUCAAAUGGUGUUGAUCCCUGAUCCCUAAGCGUUAGAAUAUAUGAGCCUACAGAGCAAUUCUUACACAAACCACCAAAGACAGCUUGGCCUAUAGUGGGGUUUUCUAAGUGUCUGUCCCAAUGGGAGUAGCUAAGUACCAUUUCUGCAAAACAUAAAGUAAGUACCUUUGUUGUUGUUGUUGUUUUUCCUUCACAGGACAAGGUUUUUGACACAUUAUACAUGCCUAUGUAGUUCAAAGUUCUUUGGACUGUGUUGCAACCUCCCGUGAGCCUCUGCGAGGAGGUUACUUCCUAAAGCAGUCUGAAGACAACAACUGAACGUUGACUUCUUUUGGUUUUCUUUUCCCAGUGUACUCUCACAUAAAUUGCUGGGGUUCCAGACGCCAUGAUGCAUUUACGGUAUCUUCAGAGUCCAGAAGAGAGGGAUUCAGGUUUCCUGGAGCUGCAGCUAAAGGUGGGAGCUGAGCUCGGGACCUCUGCGAUAGCAGUCUGUGCUCUUCACUGCUGAGCCAUCGCCUCUCCAGCCUCACAACAUGAGCACACUCAAUCCACUUCAUGUUGCUCAUGUGGACAUGGGUAUCCAGCCAUCCCCUGAGGUUUGGGCAGCCUACUGGUCGACACCCACAGAGAAGAGCGACUCUCACCUGACAGUCAUUAAGGCCAAUAUCUUCUCAGAGGUGGAACCUUGGGAGCUCUUCCCCACUCCAUGCUGAAUUUGAACAGGCUUGAUCUUGUGCAGCUCUUAUAUAAUUUCUGCUCGGUCUUCUGCAAUGGCUCCUGCGUGUUGGGUGGUGAGCAGCUAUCUGGACGAUCCAUCCAAAGCUGAGCACUUACACUCACUCCUACUUGGCAUGGAGACCUAAGUCAACUGCUACCCACUGUAUGAAGACGUUUCCCUGGCAAAGGGUGAGAGCAGCACACAUCUGUGGAUGUAGACAUACAUAGUUAGAAGGCAGUUUGAUAAUAUGACCAUUAGCAAACAUAAUCAAAGGGUUCUUCCCUUGGGCCUUUGACUUCCCCAGCCUUGGGUUUUGACUGGGUUUUCAGAACAAGGCAUGAAUCCCUCCUGUAGAACAGGCCUACAUCCAACCUAGAAAACAGCUGGUUACCUCCAUAAACUGUCUUGCCACGAUUGCAACAGUCAGAAGGUCAGUAUUGUAGCAUACUAGUCCUAUCUUUUCUCCUCCAGCAUCCUGCAAAGCCCCUUCUAGCACUAUUAAAGCUAGUCAGUAGGGCAAGAGUUCCCCAGACAAUUCAAGGUCAAUUUCUUUCAUCUUGCAACCAGUGUUUUCCAUAAUAGGUUUUACCAUCUAGUUAUGGGGGGCAACCAAGAGCAGUGGCAAUAACCUGGGUUGUUUGGGAUACCUCUGGGCUUCUCUGAUCUCUAAAUUCCUAGGGACCAGUGCCCGGCACUGAGAUUUUCAUUUAACAACUUAUGUCUUCUGGCAGUAACAACGUGUCCCCGACCUAAAGGUUUGGAGAACAGCCUGGCCACUAAACUGAUAUCUCUCUGCUUCUGUAAACUCUUGUUUACUACAGAUGUCCAGAGCUGCUUUUCAGCACACAUCACAGUUGCAGUUUUUGCCUUUAAAAACUUGAUAAAAUGGAGGUCAAGGCUGCUUCCUGCUACUAUGCCUGAGACAACCCACUGGAGGUAAAGACUCCAUAUGACUUAUCCACACACCUUGGGAAUUUUUCUCUUCAGGUACCCUUUAAUACUUGGGGGCUCCUACCAACAUUUCAGAGAAGACUCCCUCACCCCUGACCCUAGUCAAGGAUCAGGGCUGUCAGUCCAAGGAGAGGUCACGGAGAGAACAUUCCUUGGCCCUAGGAAUCAACUGCCCCUCUCCAACUUUCCCCCUAAAUGUUUUUGAAGAAGUCUACCUACAUUUAUAUUCGGUACCUCUGGACAUAAGAUAAACCUAGGUUUCAGGUUCCUAGUCUUUCUGGGAAAUUGGGGGAACUCAUGGACAAAGGGACACAUGGUAGGAAUUCCCGUAUCCAGGAUUCCCCUUCUCACCCUCAGGAUCUGGUUUGUCUUGGUGGCCACCGAUUUCUGUCUUGUUUGUUGCAUUCGUUUUCAAUGUCUCUUUCCCCUGUCUGUGUUUCUGUGCCCCAUUAAUCUUUUCCAUUUACAGUCAGGCAUGGGAAAUCAAACUUCAACAACACUGUCUCCUGAGACUCAGGUAAGUGUCACCAGAGCUGCCUGCUCUGUCUCUGUUGGCUCCUGGAGCCUAUUACAGUUACAAAAGCUGUACCAGUGUGUCAGACUGCUUCUCCCACCCCUCCUGGGCUGCUAAGCCCUGUCUUCCAGCUCCCUCCUGGAUCUUGUUCCGUCUCUCUUGCCCCAUUGCUCUUCUUUGCUUUGGGCUGCUGCCUCACUAGCUCGAUCUGUCUCUCACCUCCCACCUGGAGCUUCUUCUGUCUCUAGCCAUGGCAAACAACUUGUUUCUUCUUUUCUCCCUUUCUCAUUGCCAGACUGGAGUCUGCUGUUUCACAGGUUCAUCGGGCAUUUCUCUAUGCCUUCCUGGGCCUCUAAUAUACCGUAGUUCUCCAUCUGUCAAAGCCCCUGUUUAAAAUCCUUUCCUCUAAGUUUCUCCCAUCUCUUCUGCUUCUGAAGGAAGUCUUCUUGCCAGCCAUCUCUCAGGUGACUCCUGUCUCUAAGCACUGGGCUCUCAGGCUGCCUCUGCCCGACCCCAGCCAGUGUAGGGUGGUGCUGGCAAUCAUAGUAGGCAGAUCCAUGGCGACCAUAAGUACCUCCACCUGCUUUGUUUUGCCACCUGCUGCCUGUUGUGCUAUGGGAGCUCGCCUGUCCUCAGGGCUCUUAGCUAGAGGGGCACUAGAUUUCCAAAUUCUCACAGGUUGUUCCUCUGCCAUGGCACAAACAAAUGUCCCCAAAUCUCUUAUCUUCAAGCCUUCUUUGCUCUCUGCUCUGAGCCUCCUCUGUUCUCUGCUUGCUCUGGCCUCACCCUCUGGCCACUGGAUUCAGUUUUGCAGGGAUUCAGGUGUCUUUGAGGUCCGGAUAAAAUUAAGAUACUGUUUUGUGUUGUUCUACUCUAUAAAAACGCUGGAUCUGAAAUUGUGCUAUGGCCUUCUUUUUUUCUGCACCCCUCCCCCCAAGCAUGCUUGUUUAAGUCUCCUUCGGGGUUGGGGCUGGUGAGAACAAAGAUGAUGGUGGCCAUUGGCACCUGCCUCAGAGCUCUGAGGAUUCUGAGAGACCCAUGGAAUAUGCAGAGCUCACAGCAACUCUGGAACAACAAUGACAACACCAACAGCAACAACAGCAGCAACAACAGCAACAGCAAUAACAGGCAAGUUGAGAGAUAGGGUUUUAAAUUAGCUCAAAACUCAGCAACAGGAUCUGACUCAGGAAGACAGAUUGUUAAAAAUGCAGGAGAACUGGUAUAGACUCACUGACACUUUGCUUAUCACCGGACCUGAGUAAAUGAGUAAUGGAUUCUGUUCUGCCCCUGUGAUGUUUGUUCAAGCCCCCAUUGUGCCCUCCAGCCAUUUUGUCCUGCAGAAAGUAUUCCAGGAAACGGGCCAAGCCUAACCAGAUGUGUUUCAGACGCAGAUGCCUCAUCA
rnacentral:sRNA from 1 species